GCAUUGGUGGUUCAGGGCUAGAAUUCUCACCUUCCAUGCUAGAGACCCAGGUUUGAUUCUGGGCCAGUGCA
rnacentral:tRNA from 1 species